rnacentral:misc_RNA from 1 species
UCAAAAAGUUCAUUCUAAGAAACCAAGAAGAUUCGUCUGAUGACCUCAUAUCCUUUCCAUACCAUACAGAAGUUCCUAGGGUCCUAUUGUUUGGUCUAAUUGGCUUCACCUGUUCGAUCAUGGCACCCUUAAUAUUGCCCUUUCUGCUAAUUCACUUUUUCAUGGCUUACCUUGUAUACCGUAACCAGAUUCUCAAUGUAUACAUACCAAAAUACGAAGGUGGAGGGCACUUUUGGCCUAUUUUUCACAACACAACAAUUUUUUCAUUGGUGUUGACGCAAAUCAUAGCGAUUGGAGUCUUUGGAAUUAAAGAAUCACCAAUUGCAUCAAGUUUCACCUUUCCACUAGUUAUUUGCACUCUUCUAUUCAAUGAAUAUUGUAGGCAGCGAUUUUCCCCUGUUUUCCAGAAGGACGUUGUAGAGGUUCUUAUGGACAUGGAUAGACGUGAUGAACAGUCUGGGAGAAUGAGUGAGAUCUAUCAACAAUUACAUUCGGCAUAUUGUCAGAUCCCGAUAACUUCUCAUGAAUUCUGUGAAUCUGCACAGGAGCGACAUCGUAAUAAGAUCCAGGAUCCACAGGGCAUCAACCCAGGAACGGAACUCAGCGAAGCAAGUGAGACGUGGGCUGUUGUCAAUUUUGGAAAAGAAUCACCUACUACGAAAAAUUAAUUAAUUCAUUUUGUAUAUAAGCUACACCAAAUUCAGUUCAUGCAGUAAAACGAUCAUCUUUUAAAUGGG